UUCCGGUUGAUCCCGCCGGACCCUACUGCUAUCGGGGUAGGACUAAAACAUGCUAGUCAAACGUCUCCAAGCCACGGAAGAGACGUGGCAAAAAGCUCAGUAACACGUGGCCAACCUAACCUUGAGACAGGAACAACCCCGGGAAACUGGGAACAAUUCCCGAUAGGCGAGGAACCCUGGAAUGACUCCUCACCCAAAAGAUGUCCGAACCACGCUUCAGACAUCGCUCAAGGAUGGAGCCGCGACCGAUCAGGUAGUUGGUAGGACAAAGGCCUACCAAGCCCAUAACCGGUACGGGCCGUGAGAGCGGGAGCCCGGAGAUGGGAACUGAGACAAGGUCCCAGGCCCUACGGGGCGCAGCAGUUGCGAAAACUCCGCAAUGCACGAAAGUGUGACGGGGCUACCCCGAGUGCCGUCCGCUGAGGAUGGCUUUUCCACGCCGUAAGGAAGCGUGGGAAUAAGGAGAGGGCAAGACUGGUGUCAGCCGCCGCGGUAAAACCAGCUCUCCGAGUGGUAGGGAUGAUUAUUGGGCCUAAAGCGUCCGUAGCCAGCCUAACAAGUCUCUCGUCAAAUCCAACGAUCCAAUCGCUGGACCGCGGGAGAUACUGUCAGGCUAGGAGGCGGGAGAGGCCGACGGUACUCUUGGGGUAGGGGUGAAAUCCUGUAAUCCUAGGAGGACCACCAGUGGCGAAGGCUGUCGGCUGGCACGCGCUCGACGGUGAGGGACGAAAGCUUGGGGGAGCGAACCGGAUUAGAUACCCGGGUAGUCCAUGCUGUAAACGAUGCGGGCUAGGUGUUGGGGUGGCUACGGGCCCACUUCAGUGCCGCAGCGAAAGCGUUAAGCCCGCCGCCUGGGGAGUACGGCCGCAAGGCUGAACUUAAAGGAAUUGGCGGGGAGCACACAAGGCGUGAAGCUUGCGUUCAUUGAGUCAACGCCG
rnacentral:rRNA from 1 species